rnacentral:tRNA from 1 species
UCUCUGGUAGUAUAUCGGUUAGUACACGCGCCUGUCAUGUGAAUAGUAGUGAUGGGUUCGCGCGAAAGCUGGGUUCGACUCCCAGCCAGAGAG